CAUCAAUCUGUCAAUCAGGGCAUGAAUCAACAAACCAAUGCACAAAUGAAAGCAAUGUAGGAAGAACAAAAAGUAUCUGCUCUUUGAGUAUCUUAUGUCCUUCCACCUAUAGGAGGGAAAUGUACACCAAGCCUGGCACAAGAUUGUCCUGCAGCAUUCAUGGGGAUGAGGAGCAGAAAGCACGGGGAUUACCCUAAAAUUGCUCCAAAAAUUGCAAUAAUUCCCUGGGCAGGGCCACCCACAAGGAGGGUGAGAGCAGGCUCCACGCAGUCACGUCACAUGACACCGCCGCCGCCGCCGUCCUCGGGCCAGGGCCAGGGCCACAUGGGAAGGAGGGAGAGAAAUGGGCCAUUUACCAACAGUCGAACCAUGAAGCCCGAAACUGUCACUAAUUUUGAGCAGCUCACUGCACCGAGAAGACUGGAUAUACAAGACAAGACUGCAUUUACCACAUCAUA
ensembl:lncRNA